AGUAUUUUGGGACUCUUUUCAGCUGGAGCCAUAUGUGCCAAGCUCCCAUGGAUUGGACUCACUGAUGCUUUCACACAUUAGGUCAAACAUUGUAAUUGGAUGUCUGGUGCCUGUGGUAAAGGACACCAUUGAGACAUUGGUGUGGACAGCUCCAUUGGCUGCCUCAUCAAGGCUGAUUGCUGGAGACACCCCCUCCCCAGCAGUCAUUUCACCUGACGGGAAGCAGACCUGUCUCCUUUAGACCCGGGCUAUGAAACAGGAAGACUGACUGCGGAACUCAUCUCCUCUGGUGAAGCUGGGACAGCACGAGCGAGAAAAGAGCGAACGUCUCUAUGGAUACGGGACCUACCCAGGGGCCAGAGGAGAAGGUCCUUAGCCGUGCCCACACAGAAAUAAUGUCAGAAUCAACACACGGAAGCCGUAGCACCAGCCAUGUCCCACCACAUCAGCUCUGUCAUGGCUGGGGUGGACCCCACAUGCUGAGAGGCAUUGCUUCACAUGGCCGUGCAUAUCCUCAAGGUAACAUCAAAUCCCAUUGUGUCAAAAAAAUAACAAAGCUAAUGAUUUGUUUUGCCUGAGAUAAGAUUUGAGACCUGACAGUAGGCCUUUGGCCUUCCAUGUCUACACUACACCAAGAACUGAUCUGGCCCAAUUUACAUACUGUAGGCAUAAUUUCAUCAGAGAGAGAAAAAUAUAUUUAUUUAUGACCCCAACAGAAAGAUAGGAAUAGGUUCAAGCCCUUUUCCAUCUGUGUGCAAUCCUAGCGUAAUGCUAUCAUCACCUGUUUCCAGGCUUCUUGCUGUCA